GCUGGCGUAGCUCAGGUGGGAGAGCAGCUGAUUUGUAAUCAGCAGGUCGGAGGUUCGAGUCCUCUCGCCAGCUCCU
rnacentral:tRNA from 1 species